rnacentral:tRNA from 2 species
CGGGAUGUAGUAUAGUGGUAGUACGCGGGCUUCGGGAGUCCGUAGCGGCAGUUCAAUUCUGCCCAUCCCGACAA